rnacentral:lncRNA from 1 species
GGUUAAUUGCAGGAGGAAAGCCAUCGCCAUCGAAAGUAUGGGAUCUGGACUGUACAGAAGGAAGAGAGUCAGAUGGGCGUUCGCUGUUCUCGGCUUCCCGACUGUGACUGCAGCGUGACCAGCAGCCUCCAGCCCUUGCCACCCGGACCCACUUACUGCGAUAGACUGCGCCCUGGAGCUGGGGGCUAAGGAAGACCCUUUGCCGUUCAAGGUGCUCUUACCAGGGUGCUUUACCACAUGAACAGUUACACACGAAAGAUGUAAAUGUGCUGUUGCUCCCUUCACCCUUGCCUCCUCCUGUAGUCAACGCUAAAGCCCAGGUGAUUGCUCAUCAUCACAACACUCCCGUCACCUCCAAAGCCUUCCAGUGAAGUUCAUCAGAGCUUUCUGCAGGGAUGCAAGAAUCCCCUCCAUGCCUUCUCUGUACAGCAUGGAGCCACGAGGUGGCCAUGAGCUG